rnacentral:rRNA from 1 species
UACCUGCAGUCGACGCUGAAGCUUGGUGCUUGCACUGGGUGGAUGAGUGGCGAACGGGUGAGUAAUACGUGAGUAACCUGCCCUUGACUCUGGGAUAAGCCUGGGAAACUGGGUCUAAUACUGGAUACGACAUGUCACCGCAUGGUGGUGUGUGGAAAGGGUUUUACUGGUUUUGGAUGGGCUCACGGCCUAUCAGCUUGUUGGUGGGGUAAUGGCUCACCAAGGCGACGACGGGUAGCCGGCCUGAGAGGGUGACCGGCCACACUGGGACUGAGACACGGCCCAGACUCCUACGGGAGGCAGCAGUGGGGAAUAUUGCACAAUGGGCGAAAGCCUGAUGCAGCGACACCGCGUGAGGGAUGACGGCCUUCGGGUUGUAAACCUCUUUCAGCACGGAAGAAGCGAAAGUGACGGUACGUGCAGAAGAAGCGCCGGCUAACUACGUGCCAGCAGCCGCGGUAAUACGUAGGGCGCAAGCGUUGUCCGGAAUUAUUGGGCGUAAAGAGCUCGUAGGCGGUUUGUCGCGUCUGCUGUGAAAGCCCGGGGCUUAACCCCGGGUGUGCAGUGGGUACGGGCAGACUUGAGUGCAGUAGGGGAGACUGGAAUUCCUGGUGUAGCGGUGAAAUGCGCAGAUAUCAGGAGGAACACCGAUGGCGAAGGCAGGUCUCUGGGCUGUUACUGACGCUGAGGAGCGAAAGCAUGGGGAGCGAACAGGAUUAGAUACCCUGGUAGUCCAUGCCGUAAACGUUGGGCACUAGGUGUGGGGAACAUUCCACGUUUUCCGCGCCGUAGCUAACGCAUUAAGUGCCCCGCCUGGGGAGUACGGCCGCAGGCUAAAANUCAAAGGAAUUGACGGGGGCCCGCACAAGCGGCGGAGCAGCGGAUUAAUUCGAUGCAACGCGAAAACCUUACUAAGGUUGACAUACACGCACCGGGCAGAGGAUGUCUUUUCCUCUUUGUGGGGCUUGUGUACAGGUGUGCAUGGAUUGUCGACAGCUCCUGUCGUGAGAGUNGGGAUAAAUUCCGCAACGAGCCAACCCUCGGUCUAUGUUGCCAGCACGUGAUGGUGGGGACUCAGGAACUGCCGGGGUCAACUGCGAGCAAGGUGGGGUUGACGUAAAUCAUCAUGCCCCUUUUGUUCUGG